UGGGGAAUUUUGGACAAUGGGCGAAAGCCUGAUCCAGCCAUGCCGCGUGAGUGAAGAAGGCCUUCGGGUUGUAAAGCUCUUUUGUCCGGGAGGAAAUCCUGGCCUCUAAUACAGGUCGGGGAUGACAGUACUGGAAGAAUAAGCACCGGCUAACUACGUGCCAGCAGCCGCGGUAAUACGUAGGGUGCAAGCGUUAAUCGGAAUUACUGGGCGUAAAGCGUGCGCAGGCGGUUUUGUAAGCCAGAUGUGAAAUCCCCGAGCUUAACUUGGGAACUGCGUUUGGAACUACAAGACUAGAGUGUGUCAGAGGGGGGUAGAAUUCCACGUGUAGCAGUGAAAUGCGUAGAGAUGUGGAGGAAUACCGAUGGCGAAGGCAGCCCCCUGGGAUAACACUGACGCUCAUGCACGAAAGCGUGGGGAGCAAACAGG
rnacentral:rRNA from 1 species